rnacentral:lncRNA from 1 species
ACGCUACAGAGGCUGUCUGACAACUCCUUCCAGGGGAUGAAGAUGUGGGGGGGACUAUAUCUCGAAGAAGCUCUGGCAAGAGCCAGCUGGACCCAGCUGUGAUCAUAUGCAAUGCUGAUCAGUUAGAACUCAGACACAGAAAGAAGCAGACCUCGGUCAGACUCCCUGGUUCUGAGUCAUCACUGAACACUACAAUAUUCAUGGAUAUACUAAGUCACAGACACUGAUUAGGUUGUAAGCUCUUUAGGGCAAGGACCAUCUUUUCAUCAUAUAUUUGCCUGAUUGGGGCCUCCGAACAAUCAGGAAAUAAUAAUUUCAAAUGUAUGCUUCAAAGGCAAGU